rnacentral:rRNA from 5 species
AGACCCGAAACCCGGUGAUCUAGCCAUGGGCAGGUUGAAGGUUGGGUAACACUAACUGGAGGACCGAACCGACUAAUGUUGAAAAAUUAGCGGAUGACCUGUGGCUGGGGGUGAAAGGCCAAUCAAACCGGGAGAUAGCUGGUUCUCCCCGAAAGCUAUUUAGGUAGCGCCUCGUGAAUUCAUCUCCGGGGGUAGAGCACUGUUUCGGCCAGGGGGCCAUCCCGGCUUACCAAUCCGAUGCAAACUGCGAAUACCGGAGAAUGUUAUCACGGGAGACACACGGCGGGUGCUAACGUCCGUCGUGAAGAGGGAAACAACCCAGACCGCCAGCUAAGGUCCCAAAGUCAUGGUUAAGUGGGAAACGAUGUGGGAAGGCCCAGACAGCCAGGAUGUUGGCUUAGAAGCAGCCAUCAUUUAAAGAAAGCGUAAUAGCUCACUGGUCGAGUCGGCCUGCGCGGAAGAUGUAACGGGGCUAAACCAUGCACCGAAGCUGCGGCAGCGACACUGAUGUGUUGUUGGGUAGGGGAGCGUUCUGUAAGCCGUUGAAGGUGGCCUGUGAGGGUUGCUGGAGGUAUCAGAAGUGCGAAUGCUGACAUAAGUAACGAUAAAGCGGGUGAAAAGCCCGCUCGCCGGAAGACCAAGGGUUCCUGUCCAACGUUAAUCGGGGCAGGGUGAGUCGACCCCUAAGGCGAGGCCGAAAGGCGUAGUCGAUGGGAAACGGGUUAAUAUUCCCGUACUUGGUGUUACUGCGAAGGGGGGACGGAGAAGGCUAUGUUGGCCGGGCGACGGUUGUCCCGGUUUAAGCGUGUAGGUGUGUGUUCCAGGUAAAUCCGGUUCACUUUAACAC